rnacentral:rRNA from 1 species
UAGUCCAUGCCCUAAACGAUGUUAACUCGAUGUUUGGACUUCGGUUUGAGCAUCCAAGGGAAACCGUUAAGUUAACCACCUGGGAAGUACGUUCGCAAGAAUGAAACUCAAAGGAAUUGACGGGGGUCUGCACAAGCGGUGGAGCAUGUGGUUUGAUUCGAUGAUACGCGAGGAACCUUACCUAGGCUCUAAUGUGAGCGCAAUCUGCUGAAAGGCGGAGUUCCUUAGGGACGCGAAACAAGGUGCUGCAUGGUUGUCGUCAGCUCGUGCCGUGAGGUGUUGGGUUAAGUCCCGCAACGAGCGCAACCCCUAUUGUUAGUUGCCAGCGAGUAAUGUCGGGGACUCUAACGAGACUGCCCGCGUAAGCGGAGAGGAAGGUGGGGACGACGUCAAAUCAUCAUGGCCUUUAUGCCUAGGGCUACACACGUGCUACAAUGGCAGGUACAGAGGGUUGCGAAGGGGUGACCUGGAGCUAAUCUCAGAAAGCCUGUCCCAGUUCGGAUUGGAGU